rnacentral:rRNA from 1 species
GUCUACAGCCAUACCACCCUGAACUCACCUGAUCUCGUCUGAUCUCAGAAGCUAAGCAGGAUCGGGCCUGGUUAGUACUUGGAUGGGGAGAAAUAAGGAGAUGACCACA